GAUGAACGCUGGCGGCGUGCCUAAUACAUGCAAGUCGAGCGAACGGACGAGAAGCUUGCUUCUCUGAUGUUAGCGGCGGACGGGUGAGUAACACGUGGAUAACCUACCUAUAAGACUGGGAUAACUUCGGGAAACAGAGCUAAUACCGGAUAAUAUUUUGAACCGCAUGGUUCAAAAGUGAAAGACGGUCUUGCUGUCACUUAUAGAUGGAUCCGCGCUGCAUUAGCUAGUUGGUAAGGUAACGGCUUACCAAGGCAACGAUGCAUAGCCGACCUGAGAGGGUGAUCGGCCACACUGGAACUGAGACACGGUCCAGACUCCUACGGGAGGCAGCAGUAGGGAAUCUUCCGCAAUGGGCGAAAGCCUGACGGAGCAACGCCGCGUGAGUGAUGAAGGUCUUCGGAUCGUAAAACUCUGUUAUUAGGGAAGAACAUAUGUGUAAGUAACUGUGCACAUCUUGACGGUACCUAAUCAGAAAGCCACGGCUAACUACGUG
rnacentral:rRNA from 1 species